rnacentral:rRNA from 1 species
GACGAACGCUGGCGGCGUGCUUAACACAUGCAAGUCGAACGGCAAGGCCCUGCUUUUGUGGGGUGCUCGAGUGGCGAACGGGUGCGUAACACGUGAGUAACCUGCCCUUGACUUUGGGAUAACUUCAGGAAACUGGGGCUAAUACAGGAUAGGAGCUCCUGCUGCAUGGUGGGGGUUGGAAAGUUUCGGCGGUUGGGGAUGGACGCGCGGCUUAUCAGCUUGUUGGUGGGGUAGUGGCUUACCAAGGCUUUGACGGGUAGCCGGCCUGAGAGGGUGACCGGCCACAUUGGGACUGAGAUACGGCCCAGACUCCUACGGGAGGCAGCAGUGGGGAAUAUUGUACAAUGGGCGGAAGUCUGAUGCAGCAACGCCGGGUGCGGGAUGACGGUCUUCGGGUUGUAAACCGCUUUCGCCUGUGACGAAGCGUGAGUGACGGUAAUGGGUAAAGAAGCACCGGCUAACUACGUG